CGCACGCGCACAAACAGCCAACUGCCUCCAAAACUACAUCGCGGCAGCCCCGAACACGGUGCUUUCCGCAGCCAAAUCGAGAUCUCUCCGUCUCUCCCCCUACCGUCCGCCUCACGCCGGCCGGCCGCGGCAGCGAAUUCCAGAAGAGAUGGCCUCGGCGCUCUCCUCCUUGCGCUACGGCGACAGCCUGUCGGUGGUGGCCAUCUCGGGCGCCACGGCCGUGCUCUGCGAGGCCAUCUCCUGGCUCCUCAUCUACCGCACCGCCACCUACAACUCCCUCCGCCUCUCCAUCGAGCGCCACUCCCGCAAGCUCGACUCCAUGAAGUCCACCUCCUCCGGCGGCGAAGGCGCCUCCUCCCAGCCCGCCGGCUCCUCCUCCUCCUCGCGGGCCAAGAAGAUGGACCGCGUCGAGACCAGCCUCAAGGACGCCGCGCGGGAGCUCUCGCUCGCCAAGCUCAAGUCCGGCGCCGUCGUCGCCGCCGUGCUCUUCGUCGUAUUCGGCCUCCUCAACUCGCUCUUCGAGGGCCGCGCCGUCGCCAAGCUGCCCUUCGCGCCCGUGCCGCUCGUGCAGCGGAUGAGCCACCGCGGCCUGCCCGGGACCGACCCCACCGACUGCGCCAUGGUCUUCCUCUACUUCCUCUGCUCCAUGAGCAUCCGGACCAAUCUCCAGAAGCUGCUCGGCUUCACGCCGCCCCGUGCAGCCGCCGCCGCCGGCGGGGGCCUCUUCCCCAUGCCCGAUCCCAAAGUCAAUUGAGCCGCCCACAGGUACGAGUGGUAAGGUGGGGGUGGGGAUUCAAGAUGAUCUUUGAUUAGACACCCUGGUCUAUAUACAUACCUUGUCAUGGCGCUUGAUCUCAACCUCAGGAAGGAGUCACCCCAAAGGAUGGAACAAAUAACAAGGUCGAUCAGGGGAGAGGAGUAAUACUCAACAAGAUUCUGUAAUGAUAAAUCCCGUCCGAUUCAUUUUUCCCCAACUCACCAGUUCCUGGGUCUGGUUUCGCACACCCAUGAUACGCGGACACGAACCGAUUUGUUUUGUUCUGUCUGUAGGCAGGCUGGAUCAUGAACACGAAGGUCGCGCCUGCUACCAGCCAAGUAAUUGGUGCAGUCUGACCUUGAACUCUCGUAUAGUUUUUGUUUCAUCGUCAGCCGUUCUCUCGCAUUGAUUGAUUUGAAUCUCUAUCGUGAUGCAAGUUGCGACGGGCAUCGGGCGAGAGUUUCAUAUCUCGUCUUGUUCUUGUUCUUCUGAAUUGAUCGAUAACAAGCUGUAACUUCGGUUGCUCGC